rnacentral:rRNA from 1 species
UACGGAGGGUGCGAGCGUUGUCCGGAAUCAUUGGGCGUAAAGGGCGCGUAGGUGGCUUCUUAAGCGUGCGGUGAAAGCCUGGGGCUCAACCCCGGGUCGGCCGUGCGAACUGGGGGGCUGGAGCACUGUAGAGGCAGGCGGAAUUCCGGGUGUAGCGGUGGAAUGCGUAGAGAUCCGGAAGAACACCGGUGGCGAAGGCGGCCUGCUGGGCAGUUGCUGACACUGAGACGCGAAAGCGUGGGGAGCAAACAGG